UUUCUUUGGGUUCUCGUCGGUAGACAAAAGCUCCUCCUUCUUCCUUCAAACUAGGUCCGACUCUGACCUCCAUUUUCUUCACCAUCAAAUCUCGCCGGGUUCACCAUCAAAUCUCGCCGGGAAAAGUGAAGCUUAAGAUUCAUAUCCACCGUCAUUAGCCUUCGAACUCAUCUCCACCACCGCCGUUCUUACUUAAGUUUAGGUGCUUCCAAGAAAGAGGAGCGCAAAUUUGAGAAAAACACGAGUUUUGUUUUCCAAAAUCAUGGAGGCUGUUGCAACCUCAAGUGCUAAGAAUAUAAUUCACAAGGUGAAUUUUAAAUUAAACUUCUUGAUGUGCUGUCUUCUGAAGAAACACG